UUGGUUACACUGAUGUUAUGGUUGCCCCCGAACAAAUCAAGGGCAUCGUCACCAUUUCAAACAACGCUAAAAUGAAGUACAUCAUCAAGAUUGCGGAUUUCGAGACUUUGGUGUCGAAGGAACGCAUCGCUAACCUGAAGGCUGGCAGCGGACGCAUCUCUUGGGACAGAUAUCCACGAUUUGCCGAGAUUGAAACUUGGCUGAACAAUCUCAACAGUCCGUACGUGACUGUUUCUCUCAUCGGCCACUCCUACAACGGAUUGGACCUCCAUGCCGUUAAAUUCUCGACUGGCGGAGCACCCAAAAAAAACUGUGCUCAUAGAUGCCAACAUCAACGGGAGGGAAUGGGUGACGGGUGCGACGGCAACCUGGAUAAUCAACGAACUUAUCACCAACACCACCACGUACCUCGACGUCCUUCAGCAAAUCGAUAUCCACAUAAUCCCAAUGGUUAAUCCUGACGCGUAUGAAAUCUCCCAUACGGAGGACAGAUUGUGGACCAAGACACGAUCUAUCAACGAUGGAUCUGACUGCUUGGGCUCCGAUCCCAACAGGAAUUUUGCCUUCAUGUUUGGUACAUUGAGCUAAACAUUGCGAACUGAAAUAAUAACCUCUGCAAUCUUAGUUCAGUCACCUAUCUAAAUUCUUACAAGAAGUUAGAAGCAGUCAAAUUAGUUAAUAGAAAAUGCCUGGCAAUUAUGUGGCAAUUAGGGUCGUGUACUUUUAAAAAUUAUAUAUUUUUAAAUAUACAUGGAAACAAUUGGAAAAUAACUAGCACAAACCAAACUAACCAAAAACUUGAACUCUUUCAUCAAGGUUUGGAUGCUUCCGUGGCAGUACACUGUCGGCAUCUACCCAACAGACUAUGCUGACAGGUUUUCCCUACAAAAUUUCUAAUUAUGGAUUCCGUCAUGUACUUAAUUCGAUAGGACGGAGAUUCUGAAAAUAUUAAUUUUUACAGUUAAGCCUGGGCCAGGCUGCUAUCACCGCGCUACGAGCUUUGCACAACACCAGUUACCUAACCGUAAAUGCGGCAGAUUUUCGUGGCUGUAUGUUAACUACAUGGGGCUGAUUUUAAGGGUUGUACGUAAAUUAUGUAAUUGACUUGGGAGAAAAUAUGGUCCAGCCAACUAUGUUGCACACGUUUAAACCAGCCAAGGUAGUUCUUUGCAAUUUUUCGUUACGUAAUUUACGCACAGCCCUUUCCCUGCAGUCACAAACAUAUAUCAUGUCAGAACAACCUUAGUUUGGUAUUAUCCGCGAGUCAUUACUUGUCCCCGUCUCAUACAAAUUUUGACGGUGUACUCUUUGUGUUGCAGCCUCUAUACUGACUGUUUUGUAGACACAGCUAAUUUGCGUAUCAGACGGGGACAAGUUACAGCGCCCGGGUAAUAUCUUUUACUUUAUUACAGUCGGAAUGGGCGGGACCAGUGAUGACUGGGCCAAAAAUCAUGGGAUCUAGUACACCACUACUGUCAGGAUGCGCGGCGGGGCCUAUGCCUAUUUUCUCCCACCCCAUCAAAUUAUCCCGAAUGCGCAAGGUUUCCUUACGCAUUUUUAACAUUUUUUCCCUGGGAGCUGACCUCAGCCUUGGUGGAGGUGCAAAACGUGAAAAGUUCGGGCGUCGUAUUAGCCACGAUGCAGGGUUUGGCGAGAUGUAAGGGUUUAGCACAAACGGAAGUUCGACUUUGCGGAAAAGUAGGAGCAGUUUUGGUCCCGGGGGAUGCCGUGAAAGCAAUUCUUUUAACCUGCAGGGAGGUGAAGUUGGUUAAAAUGUCGGGAUUUUUGAUCAAGGGGAGGGAUAAAUUUCAAGGAUUUAUUGACGCUAACCGUCUCCCGAUUACUUUGUCAGAGUAAAUUCAUCACAAGAAAGGACCCGUUUAUAUGUAUUAAAUAACGAUGUAUGUACAUAAGUCGUGUGGGAUUUUGUAAAGGAUGAA